rnacentral:rRNA from 1 species
UACGAAGGGGGCUAGCGUUGUUCGGAAUUACUGGGCGUAAAGCGUGCGCAGGCGGCUUUGCAAGUCAGAUGUGAAAUCCCCGGGCUUAACCUGGGAAUUGCGUUGGAGACUGCAAGGCUAGAAUCUGGCAGAGGGGGGUAGAAUUCCACGUGUAGCAGUGAAAUGCGUAGAGAUGUGGAGGAACACCGAUGGCGAAGGCAGCCCCCUGGGUCAAGAUUGACGCUCAUGCACGAAAGCGUGGGGAGCAAACAGG